AGCAGAAGAGAGAUUGGAGAGAAUGAUGUUUAUUAAGCAGAGAAAAGAGUGUAAAAGUUGAUUUUGCAAUUAAAAAAAACAUAACUUACCUGAUCAGGGAUUGACAGGGAUUUUAUGAGAACUAAGCCACAACGGUUUUGGUCAGGUUUUUUUAUGUGCUUAAUUUGAGGCUCUGUCGGAGCGAGGAUUGAUCUGCAGUGUGCAGGUGUGCACACGUGCGGACGGGAUUCAAGAUGGCGAGCCAGACCCAGAUUUGCAAAUCAUCUUCUUCAUCACAUCAGUGAGGAAACCUUUUGAGUACAGUGACUCGCUGCCAGAGCGGUAGGAGUAUAAGAAAUUGUUUUUGGAUCGAAUUGAACUCUGAUUGAACUAUUAUUUGCGGACUGAAUCGAACUGAAACUCUUCAUUGAACUGAAUAAUUUAACUCCCAUUGAACUCGAACUGAAUUAAAGACACACACUUCUAAUUUCA